UCUUCCAAAUUGACUGAGACGCCCACAGAUACCUGUGUAUCCUGAUCAAUAAAAAUCCUCUUGCAGAUUACAGCCGGUGGACUCGGACUGGUCAUUGGAGCUUGAGGAUCUCCCUCCUGAGGGAAGAUUCUCUCUGAGGGUCUUACAUAUGGGGGCUCGUCCGGGAUCGGAGAUCCUCUGCCUAGAGACCACCGACCACCCACCGGGAGGCCUUUUCUGAGCUCACAUACAGCCCUCCCAGCUAUGAACAGUGUCCGGUUUGAAAAGUAAACACACCACAGCAAUCCUGGCACCUCUGUGAAGUGACUUGGUUGUCCACGUGCACCACCUACAGUGCUAUCUGAGUGAUGAAUGCCUCUGGGAUGCAAGUGUCAGCUGAGCAUGUCUGUUGAGAAAUGGGCUCCUCCCAAGUACCUGGACUUGCUGGAAUCUUAUAAAAGCUUCUCUGGCCAUACAUUGUUCAGUCUUCUGCCUAGCAGGUGUCAAGUUCCAGUUGGAGAACUGAGUGGAUCUUCCUGUGGAGCCAAAGUCUAAUUCGUCUUGACAAACGCCGAGAUGUCUCAGCAGGGCGCCAAAGGCUUUUCCAAAGGGUCUUCCCAGAGCUCCGCCCCUUGCUCCGCCCCGACUCCGGCCCCUACGUCCUCCUCAUCUUGUUGUGAUGGCGGAUGCUGCAGAGGCUGCGGGGGCGGUUGUGGUGGUGACUCUGGCUGCUGUGGCUCCAGUUCCACCGGCUGCUGCUGCUUUCCCAGGAGACGCCGCCGUCAGCGCACUGGCGGCUGCUGCUGCUGCGGAGGAAGCCAAAGGUCUCAACGCUCCUGCAACAAUCAGAGCUCAGGCUGCUGUUCUGGUGGCUGCUGAGAGCCCACCGAGCUGCUCGCGAACAGCUCUGCUGCUCUCACCCUGUCCUCCAUAGUAGAAACAGGCAGGACCGGACUAGGAGUUUGGUUCUCCCUUAAGCUAACUGCACUUUGAUGUUCAGAAACCUCACUCUGUUCUUAGACCUGUCCUCUAAAGUUGAUUUUCCUCCCAGGGAAUACAAAAGUCAGGGGUGGGACCUUAGACCAUGCUAUGGGCAGGAGGUGUGCACAGUAGUGUUCAAAACAGGCUACUGAUUUGAUUGUUGCCUGGAGACAUCAUAAUAAAGCUUCUACCUCCUAUG
rnacentral:lncRNA from 1 species